rnacentral:rRNA from 1 species
AUGUGUCUCGGACCUAAGUUGCUGCCGCUGGACCGUGGUUACAUGCAUCCUUGCUUGGAGGUAGCGGUGCUGGGAGAUAUGCAUGUUCAAGGCGAAGAAGUGGACGAAGGCCGAAGAAGCAAUCUGUGCCUCCCUAUCGCUCCGUCCUGCUCCUCAAUUUGUCACCUUAGUUAUUAUGGCUACCUUAUCCCUCAUGCUGCUGAUUUAAACCUGCCCUACUCUUCUUCUCCUAGGUGGAUCGAGCGCUUCAGCUGGUGCCUCGCAGACGACGGGGAAGGAAGGAUUAGAAGUGACGGCUAUAGCGCUAGGAAAUUGGAAACCCUAGCAAUUGAUCUUCUCUAUAAAACGUGUGUGGCAAGGGACGUGGAACCUGCUUCAGAGAAGAAGAGAUGGAACAUGUGA